rnacentral:lncRNA from 1 species
UCUUCCAUUGCCCCUAUUGAUUACUCAUUACCCAUUUGUCAUCGUCUUUAUGUCCCUGUCUACUUGAGAUCUUCUCAGUGCUCACCCAUUAUUUUUACAUAGGAAAUGCUAUUUUAUUUUUCGUGUAUAGAUUAUCAUCUAAAAUUGAGAUGAGAUAGAACUAUCAUCCAACAUACAAACCAUACCCUAUUGAGUAAACAAGGGCCUCUAAAAAAAUGUUUUCUGAUCACUGCAGUACUGCACCUCUACCGCGCACUAGCCAAUGUGGACUGUUUCCACUCUUAAUUACCCAAAUGAGACGUUUGGAUCUGAUUGGGAAAAUUCAACGACUUUGGGAGUUCUACUUCUAGUUCUACCAGCCAGUCGCCGACCCACGGCUUUUAUAAGUCGUGUCUAAGUCUUCCAUUGCCCCAUUGAUUACUCAAUACCCAUUUGUCAUUAUCUCUAUGUCCCUGUCUUCUCGAGUUCUUCUCACCCAUUAUUUUUACGUAGGGAAUGCUAUUUUAUUUUUCGUGUAUAGAUUAUCAUCCGGUGCUAAUAUAAUUUUAUGAAUAUCCAUAAUAGUAGUAUCUGCAUAUAAUAUUGCCCCAUCUCCUUCCCUGCUUCUCCUCUCCAUGAUUUAACUUCCUCUCUUCUUCCCUAAUAUCUCUCCAUCGCAAAAAUUGGGGCCUUCAUCUGCCACCAUGAGGAAUACUGGCCAUAGAUGCCUCUGUUUAAUCAUUCCAUCCAUUCUCACCCCUGUCUAUCUCUUUAUCUUCCUCCACUACCUCACCAUCCCCAUCGCUGGUUACACUUACACCCCUACAGAAAACUUCGCCAUUAAUUGUGGCUCCGCCGAAAAUUGGCAAGCAUUGGCCAGGAACUGGACGGGCGACGUCGAUUCCAAAUUCUCCCCUUCGGAAAAGGGCGAGCUAUCAACAACAUCUCUCGCAGCCGAACAACCUUUUGAAUCGUUUCCCUAUUCCACAGCGCGGCUAUCUCGCAAUGAGUUCACAUACUCAUUUCCCCUCACAGCCGGCCAGAAAUACAUUCGCUUGCACUUUUAUCCAUCUUCAUACGGGGAGUUCGACAGAUCUAAAGCUUUUUUCUCGGUCAAAACCGGUGGUGGCUACACUCUUCUUAGCAACUUCAGUGCUGCCCUUGCUGCUGAAGAUAUUCAAAAGGAAACGAUAGUGAGAGAAUUCUGUAUCAACUUCAACGAAGAAGGUGAGAAGCUGAAUAUUACAUUCACUCCCACUGCGGGCGCAGAUGCAUACGCUUUUAUUAACGGAAUUGAAAUUGUCUCCAUGCCCGACAAUCUCUACUACACUGCACAAGAUGGAGGGUUUCAGUUUAUCGGUCAACAGAAUUCAUUUUUCGUUGAAACAGAUCAUGCUCUGGAAAAUGUAUACCGACUAAACGUAGGUGGGAAAUCUCUUUCGCCCACGGAUGACACCGGCAUGUUCCGUACUUGGGAUGCGGACGAUGAAUACUGUGUGAAACUAGCAUUUGUACCCGCCAACACCAGCAUUAAUCUCAAAUUCACCCAAAUACCAAAUUACACGGCACCUCUUGAUGUCUACCGCACCGCCCGGACCAUGGGAAACAACAAAACUGAGAACAUGGGAUACAAUCUGACUUGGUUUUUGCCUGUGGACUCUGGUUUUAGUUACCUGCUUAGAUUACAUUUUUGCGAGUUCCAACCAGAGAUCCAGGAGCAGCACGACAGGGAGUUCGCGAUUAUCAUAGCCAACCAGACGGCGGAGAAUCAUGCAGACGUGAUCACAUGGAGCACGGGAAAUGGAGUUCCCAUAUACAAAGAUUAUGGGGUAAUGAUGCCAAGCCAGGGAAGUAACAAAAAACAAAACCUCUACAUACAACUGCAUCCUAACCCGGAUUCUGAAACCGUUUACAAUGAUGCAAUCCUCAACGGAAUCGAGCUAUUCAAACUCAGCAAUCCUGAAAAAAGCCUCGCCGGGCCCAAUCCAGAUCCAUCGGAGGCUCCUGCCCCACCACCGCCUGUACAGUCUACCUCGCCCAAGAGAAACAAAACAAAGCUUAUCGCAAUUGCCGGUAGCGUGGUCGCAGGCCUAAUCGCGCUCUCUGUUAUAGUUCUCUUUAUUGUCUGGCGAGGAAGGAGAGUAAGAGACUCCGAACCCAGCGAUGGAGGAUCAUGGUGGGGCCAAUUUUCUUAUACCUCGGUGAAGUCCACGAAGACCAGCCGCUCAUCUCUGCCCUCCGAUCUGUGCCGUCACUUCACUCUGCAAGAAGUCAAGGUGGCCACUAACAACUUCGACCAAGUCUUCAUCAUCGGCGUCGGAGGCUUUGGGAACGUGUACAAAGGGUAUAUCAACGGCGGAACAACACCGGUGGCAAUCAAACGGUUGAAUCCAGAGUCACAGCAGGGGGCCCAGGAAUUCCAGACUGAGAUCGAGAUGCUUUCCCAGCUCCGCCACCUUCAUCUGGUAUCUCUAAUUGGCUACUGCAACGACGAUCGCGAGAUGAUCCUCGUGUACGAUUACAUGGCCCACGGCACUCUCCGCGAUCAUCUCUACAAAACAGAUAAUCCUCCAUUGUCGUGGAAGCAGAGGCUCGAGAUUUGCAUUGGCGCAGCUCGAGGGUUGCACUAUCUUCAUACAGGUGUGAAGCACACGAUCAUUCACCGGGAUGUGAAGACAACCAACAUCCUUUUGGAUGAGAAAUGGGUGGCCAAAGUUUCGGAUUUCGGAUUGUCAAAGAUGGGCCCUACCAGCAUGUCGAACGCCCACGUCAGCACAGUGGUGAAGGGUAGUUUCGGGUAUUUGGACCCAGAGUAUUACCGGCGGCAACAGCUAACGGAGAAAUCCGACGUGUACUCAUUCGGUGUAGUACUGUUUGAAGUACUGUGCGCGAGGCCACCCCUGAAUCAGACGGUGGAGAAAGAGCGGGUCAGUCUAGCACAGUGGGCCCCGGCCUGCUAUCGAGAUGGGAAGCUCGAACAGAUCGUUGAUCCGUUUUUAAAGGGUAAGAUAGCGCCGGACUGUCUGCAGAAGUUUGGGGAGAUCGCAGUGAGUUGUUUGCAGGAUCAGGGGAUCGAACGGCCAUCCAUGAGCGAUGUGGUGUGGGGCCUUCAAUUUGCAAUGCAGCUACAGGAGAGCGCGGAGCAGGAGAUGGAGAAGAGUGGGUCGUGGAGAAAAGUGAAGGACGAAGAAGCCCCACUGAAGGCCUCCAUUACUGAUGAUAGUGACGAUGCGUACGUGUUAACUAGUGAUAGUGGAGGCACGUGGGAUUCGAAGAGUAGUGGGGUAAUGAUACAAUCUAGUGGAGAAGAAAAAAGUUCAACCAGUUGUGAAUCUGAUGCGCUGAUGUCAGGUGCCGUGUUCUCUGAGAUCCUGAACCCAAAGGGGCGAUGAGGUGCAUCCCGUCUCCACAUCUCCACCUCCCUUUAUCAUGAUGCCGCCUCUCCAAUUUUUAAUUAUAAAUAGUGCCUUCAUGAAAUUUAGACUGUACUGGGUUGUUGAAAAUUGUAAUUUUCUUUUUCAAAAAGCGUAUGACCACAUGACUCCAAAAUGUUGACGAAAUUAACAUUGUGAAAAAUAAGUUUAUAAAAAACAAUUUUAUUAUUAAUUUAUCAAAUAAUUUUGAAGUUUUUGAGAAAAUCGAUUUCUCACCCUUUUUCUUUUCUUUUUUUUUUUUUUAAAUAAAAUUUCUCUCUCUCUCUCUCUUUUUUUUUUUUUUUUUUAGUGAAAAUCAUCACUUUGAAGGGACAUUUUUCACUUUUUUCACUUUUUUUUUUUUGAGAAAAUAGUAUAUUCAAGAGAUAAUUUCCCACUUUUUAGAUUUUUUUUUUUAAUUCUGACCUUUUUGAGAUUCUCACUUUCUUGUUUUGGUUUUGGUUUUUUAUUUUUUAAAAUUUUAUUUUAUUUUUUAUGAAAAUUUCUCACCUUUUUUUAUCCAUAAAAUUGUAUAUUUAAAAGACAAUUUCCUAUAUUUUACAAUUAUAUUAUUUUAUUUUUUAACAAAAUCAUCCAUUCAAAAAAAGAUUUCUUAUUUUUUUUAAGACAUAUUUUUCCCUUUAAUUUAUUUGGGAAAUUGUCCCUUUAAGAGACUAUUUUAACUAAAUGAUUUUUUUAAAGAAAAUAAAUUGUCGUUUAAAAAGUCAAUUUUUUUAAAAAAUACUUUUUAAAAUUUGAUAUGAGAAUUUUAUAUUUAUUUCUAUCCAUAGCACAUUGUAAAAUAUAAACGACCUUAGCAUUUAAUUGGAAAUUUCUUUUAUCAUGCUCAUCCCAUUUUUGUUUGGGUUUUGGAACCAUAACUCCAUAAACUAGUUUUGAAGGAAAAGUUGGGUCAUCUUCAAUGACAUCUCACAAGUCUAAGUUAGUUGACUGUAAAAAUGAAGUCAUUUUAGUUUUCCAAUAAGAAUAAUUGGUUCCCGCAAAAAAUGAAGGUAUAUUGGUAGCAAAACUUUUAAUGUGAGAAGAGCUUGAUGAAUUAGUCAUUUCCUCUUAGACAGUUAAAUCUUAAAUAAGAGGCCUAUUAUUUACCCAAGCUUCUAAUUGAGUGAGAGUUUCACUAUACUUGAAGCUUCAACCAAGCUUUUAAUCACCUUUAUACUUGGAUUCCAACUCCAAUGAGCUCUUACACAAUCCCUUCAAGUCUUUACUCACUUGAAACUUUUAACACUCAAAUAACAAGUUUGAAUAUCUCAACCUAGCUCAACAAGGGCUCAAAUACAACUUAAAUGUAAGGAAGAAUCACAAUGGUGCACUAAGGAAUAUGCAAAUGAAGAUUUAAUACACUAAGGAAAGAAUGAGAACUUUUGAUUCAAAAACAAGUAGGUAAACAAGUAAAUGCAGGUGUUUUCUUACUUAUAAAUGAAGUGGAGUUCUCAAUUUAUGGAUUUCUAGCAUCAAGAGCAAAAAAUGCCAAAAAACAGCCUCAACCGGUCAAGUUGGGGGUCGACUAAUUGACUAGUCAUUAUGUAAUAAAUGUAUGAUAGGUGGUCGUUAGGCCUCGACUGGACAUCGAUCGGUCAUCGACUGGGAAGACAUAUCCCUCGACCAAGAAUGCAAGGCUACUGGAAGAGAGAAUAUUUUUUACAUCUCUCGAUCGGACCUCAACUGGGAUAGUGUAACCGGUUGAGUCGGUUGGCCAAUACCUCGACUGGUUCACCAUUUUUGGCUCGAAAACCUAUCUUUUUGUUUUUGUUUUUUUUGUUUAAAUCUUUUCUCUUCUAACAUUUAGGCAAGGUCUUUAGGUAAAUUAAUAUGCUAGAUUUGAAACAAUUUGCUUAAGGUUCAUUUGAUAAAACUUAGGUUUUGAUGGAAAUGUAACUUUAAUGCAUAAACUGAGUUUUUAAAAAUGCAUGAAAAGAUAUGAAAACCCUAAGUGCACCUAUGCAUUCAUCUUACAUAUGUUUCCUAUGAUUAAAGGUUUUCCAAAUGUCUUGAUCUUGCAUCAAUUGGGUCAUUUGAUGAAUUUCCAAACUAAUACCUGAAAUUUUUUAUAAUUCAACCCAAUUAACAACUUAACCAUGAUUUGCUAUCAUCAAAAUAUGAUUAGGAGAACCUUUGGGCUAACAACUUUCAUGAAAAAUAUAAGAACUCAACUUAAUGACCUAUUUUUCAUCGUACACAAGCUCCCUAUGAAUUUGUGUCACAUUCUAACAAGAUGAAUUCUAUCAAACUCUUAAUAUUGUCUCUACAAUUAUUUAGUCUCAUAUUAUCUUAUUAUGUGAUCAACUAACACACAUUCUAGCUCAAAAGAAUUUAUGUCAAAUUCCAAUUAAGGAAUUACUAUAAUAAUAGAUUUUUUUUAUCACAUGUGCUUAGAAUCACUCAAGAGGGCACAUUGUUCCAAACCCGUGAGAUAUUAUGGUGGUUCUAUCAAGAAUACCUUUUACCACUACCCUUCAUUAACAAUGACUCAAUGCAUAAGGAAUAUAUGACCACCCUAUGGUCUCACUCGUGGGUUAAAGUUACUAUAGAGCUUAGUACAAGCUCAAUAUCAUAUUAAUGUUGAGAGACCAUACAUUAUAGCAGUUUGAUGAGAUCAUGACUAUCCAUAAAUCUUGUCAAUGUGUAACCAUAAACACUCAAGGAUGAAAAUAUUGAUUUUAGCAAAUAUAUCGAUAAUUCAAUUUUAUGGAUAUAUUAGGAAAUAUCGAUGAAUAUUUUGACACAACAUAUCAAUUAGGCAAAAAUUGAUCAAAACCCAUGAAAAUGUUAGGAAAAAAAUUCUAAAAAUGAUAUAAUAAUUAAUAAUAGAUAUUUUAAUUUUUUGUUAAUUAAAGAAAACGAUAUUGUAUGAUAUAAUUUAUCAUUAUGAUAAUAAUAUCAUGUGUGUCAAUAAAAAAAAUAUGAAUUUUAUAAGUGUACAUUUAUUAUUAAUUAAGUUACAUAAAAUAUUAUUCAAUAAUAGUAUUGCGACAUUUGAUUAUAAUGUCUAAUUUUAAAAUAUAUUUAAUAUUAAAAUUAUGAUUCAUUUAAUUCGAUUGUAUUUAAUGAUAUAAAAUAAAUGAUGAUAUAUGCACAAUUUUUUAAUAUUUAAUUAAUAUAUUAAUGAUAUAAAAAAUACCUAUGAAGAAAAUUAUCAUGAUAAUUUUUAUAUUUUUGGUAAUCAAUUAAAUGAAAUUUUUUUAUUUAAUUAUAAAAUAAUUAUAAUUAAUUUAUUCAUUAAAAUAUUCUUUAAACAUUUUUUUUUAUAUAUAUAUAUAAACUUGCCCCAAUGGUUGCGAUUCAUUGUGAACCUUUUAUAUGGGGUUCAAACCCUCCAUCUAGAGAAAGCAAUGAGCCAUUAUUGAGCAUUGACCACUUUUGACUAAGCAUUGACCUUAUCCAAAAAUCGCCCGUAUGCCCCCACAUGUUGCUUCAGUCAAUAUUUUGCGCUUUUUUUAAUCCAUAUAAUCAAGAUCAGUCACUCUUCAGUUAAAAGGUAAUACACUACAACUUCAAAUACAGUGCCUAAGUUCAUGAGUCAAAUGUACUAAUUAUCUACUUGAAAGGAACUAUGACUUGAAUAUUUCGUGUAACUAUAAAUGCAUCAAGUCAUAUAUAAAGCAAAAUAUAUCAAGCCAGAAUGCCAAGAAAAUAUAAUGCGUGAACAUGAUAGGAUUGAAAAAUUGGAAUCCUAUUAUAAAUAUUAAUAAAUAUGUUUAUUGUAAUAUUGUCAGCUUUUAAGGGCUUAUUUAAGGGAUUUAUUGUAACAAAUAUGUCCUUAAUAAUAUUAAUGUUAAACUAAUAUUUAUACUAAAAUUUUCAUCUCUUAUUUUAAUGUAAAAGAGAAUUCUAAAGAUAAAUAUAUUUUUUAAUAGGUUUGUACCAAAUACAAAAUUUAAAAAUGUAACUUUAAUGAAUAAAUAAUUUUAAUUAUCUUAUAUUUAAAUUCCUUUUCACUAAUUAUUAAUGAGUCUUUCUUUAUAUCUCUUUACAUUAAUUAAAUAUAAGAAAAAUAUAAAUUUGAAAAUAAAAUUAUAUGUUAAAAAAAAAAUCAUGCAUAUAACAUUGCUUUUAUAUAUAUAUAUAUCUUUGAAUACAUCUAAACUAGUUAGAUUUCUAUAAAAUGUAUUUUCAAGUUUUAUAUAUUAUUAUUGAUGAUAAAUUAUAUUAUGCCUAUAUUCAAAAGACAAAGAACUUGAAUAUGUAAUAUUUCUUGUUUUAUUUUAUUUUAUUUUUACAUUUUUAUGAGUUUUAAUUAAUUUUUAUUUCAUCAAUUUUUUUUAAAUAUUUUUUUUUUGAUAUUUUUGUAAAACCCAACUAUAGAAAUGCAUAUUUUUAUCCUUGGUUGUAUUUGAGCUAAGGGGGAGAAUUUUGGAACUGCUAAGGAGGGAAGGAUGCACAAUAGGAUUGAAAAAGAAUAUAGGUUAAAGGUGGAACCAAUGGUUCUCUCAUCGGAUUGUGAUACAUGGAGCAUGUCCUUCACUAUAUGGAAUAAGUGUAGUUUUUCCCAUGUACUUAUUAGAUCUUGGAGGGUGAAACAAUAAAUAAAGUAGUUAAACUAUUUGAAUCUUCGGGGCAUGAAGGGGAUUGUAGCGUAUGAGAGGACCAAUAAAAGUAUAUGGUAAAACACGGGAUGUUUCAAGGCUCAAAUUUUUGUGCUUUUUGUAAUAUGGUGAAAUGAUUUCUCUAAUUCAUAGAUAUAAAUAUAGUAAUUGGCCUAAGCAUAUUAAAUAUUCAUGUAACAUUUCAUCAUAUUAAAUACAGUAAUAGAUCAAAUUUUUAGGCUGUGUUUGGUUCCUUGAAAAUUUGAAGGAAAAUGUAUUAGAAAAAAUAGAGAGAAAAUUAAAACGAAAGAAAAAGUACAAAAAAUAAAAAAUACAUUUAAAAUCAAUAAAUUAGUUUUAUAUAUUACUUCAAAUCCAUUUAACAUAUUUAACUCUUCUAUAUAAAAAUUAAAUAAUUUAAAAUAUAUAAAUUCCUUGUUAAUUUUAAUUAUUUUUUACUUUCUCUCAUAUUAUUCAUAGUAAAAUCAAAUAGGAAAAAAAAUGUAUAUUUUCUUAACAUUUUUUCCUUUCUUAUUACUUUCUUGGAACCAAAGAUAACCUUACUUUCCACCUUUUUUCCAAGAAUGGAUUAAGAAAAAAAAAUUAAACAACAAAAAAGUGAAUGCUUUAUUAAGAACCAAAGUGCUACCAUCCCUUCAACCCAUUCAAUCUUUGGUUGAGAAGGUAAGGUUUGCAUACUUAUUUUUAUGUUAAACAUUUGAGAGUAAGGGUUAUGUUUAGUUUUUAGAAAAGUUAAAGGAAAAGAAAAUAGAGUGAAAAAAUGCAAGGAAAGAAAAAAUGAAUGAAAAUAAAAAAAAUAGAUUAAAAAUCAAUAAGUUAAUUUUAUAUAUUUUUUCAAACUAAUUUAAGUUAUUUUUGUUCAUAGUAUAAAAAUUGAAUAAUUUUAAAACAUAUAAAUUUUAAACUAAUUUUAAUUAUAUUUAAUAUUCUUUUUCUUUUCUUUUCUUUUUUAUAAUAAACUAAACAUAAGAAAUUUAUUUUUUUAAAUAAUUUUUUUAUUUCCUUAACGCUUUCAGAAACCAAAUAUAACCUAAAGAUUAAGUACCUAAAGCCUUUUUUUUUUUCCUGAUAAAUAAUAGCCUAGCCUUCCAAGUAGGUACUUAUUGUUAAUUGCUAACUAAACCUUUCUAACUAUGACAUUUAAAUACGUAACAGUAUGGUUUGUAGGGUACGUAUGUUAGGAGGUUCGUGGAAGCUAAGGGAUGGUCGGAAUAAAUGUGCAAACGACUUGGACUUUUAUUAGUCGUCUACUCUUUUUCUACCCACUAUUCGUUUGUCUUCAUUCAAUGUCUCUACCAAUAAGAAAAUAGUGCCACUAGGACCAAGAAAAAAAAACUUAUUAUUUGUUUUAUUAUAAAUUUUUAAUAUUUUUUAUUUUUUAUUAUAUUUUUAUGAGUUUUAAUUAAGUAAUUAUGUUUUUGGACAUUUCCAAUUUUUUUUUUUUUUUUAAAUUCAAUCAUUGACAUUUCUAUGUUAAUUUUGCCUUGUUAUGAGAAAUAGAUGGUGGAAUUUAUUUGAAAAUAUAAUUAGUUUUAUGAAACAAUUGAUUUAAAAGAUAUUUUUAAAAUGAGAGGUUUAGGAUGUAUUUGACAACGCUUUUAAAAAUAAUUACAUCUCUUUGCCACUGCACGGCUCUCACACUCUGAAUUCACAUACAGAUUUCCUGUCUUAGCCGGUACGAAAUUCAAAUGUUUUUUCCUCUAAAAACAAGGGCCUAAAAUUGAGAUGAGAUAGAACUAUCAUCCAACAUACAAACCAUACCCUAUUGAGUAAACAAGGGCCUCUAAAAAAAUGUUUUCUGAUCACUGCAGUACUGCACCUCUACCGCGCACUAGCCAAUGUGGACUGUUUCCACUCUUAAUUACCCAAAUGAGACGUUUGGAUCUGAUUGGGAAAAUUCAACGACUUUGGGAGUUCUACUUCUAGUUCUACCAGCCAGUCGCCGACCCACGGCUUUUAUAAGUCGUGUCUAAGUCUUCCAUUGCCCCAUUGAUUACUCAAUACCCAUUUGUCAUUAUCUCUAUGUCCCUGUCUUCUCGAGUUCUUCUCACCCAUUAUUUUUACGUAGGGAAUGCUAUUUUAUUUUUCGUGUAUAGAUUAUCAUCCGGUGCUAAUAUAAUUUUAUGAAUAUCCAUAAUAGUAGUAUCUGCAUAUAAUAUUGGCCAUCUCCUUCCCUGCUUCAUCUUCCACCAUGACGAAUACUGGCGACAGAUGCCUCUGUUUAAUCAGUCCAUCCACUCUCACCCUUCUCUAUCUCUUUAUCUUCCUCCACUACCUCACCAUCCCCAUCGCCGGUUACACCCCUACAGAAAACUUCGCCAUCAAUUGUGGCUCCUCCGAAAAUUGGCAAGACUUGGGCAGGAACUGGACGGGGGACGUCGGUUCCAAAUUCUCCCCCUUGGAAAAGGGCAAGCUAUCAACAACAUCUCAAGCAGAUAAACCAUCCUCUUCAUCGGUUCUCUAUUCCACAGCGCGGCUUUCUCGCUAUGAGUUCACAUACUCAUUUCCCCUCACAGCCGGCCAGAAAUUCAUUCGCUUGCACUUUUAUCCAUCUUCAUACGGGGAGUUCGACGGAUCUAAAGCUUUUUUCUCCGUCAAAACCGGUGGUGGCUACACUCUUCUUAGCAACUUCAGUGCUGCCCUUGCUGCUGAAGAUCUUCAAAAGGAAACGAUAGUGAGAGAAUUCUGUAUCUACUUCAAUGAAGAAGGUGGGAAGCUGAAUAUAACAUUCACUCCCACUGCGGCUGCAGAUGCAUACGCUUUUAUUAACGGAAUUGAAAUAGUCUCCAUGCCCAACGAUCUCUACUACAGUUCUCCACAAGAUGUAGGGUUUCAGUUAAUCGGUCAACAGAAUUCAUUUCGCAUUGAAACAGAUUAUGCUCUGGAAAUGGUAUACCGACUAAACGUAGGCAUGCAAUAUGUUUCGGCCAAGGAUGACACCGGCAUGUUCCGUACUUGGGAUAUGGACGAUGACUACUGUAUGAAACUAGCAUUUGUACCCGCCAACACCAGCAUUAAUCUCAAAUUCACCAAAAUACCAAAUUACACGGCACCUCAUGAUGUCUACCGCACCGCCCGGACCAUGGGAAACAACAAAACUGAGAACAUGGGAUACAAUCUUACUUGGGUUUUGCCUGUGGACUCUGGUUUUUAUUACCUGAUUAGAUUACAUUUUUGCGAGUUCCAACCAGAGAUCCAGCAGCAGCACGACAGGGAGUUCACGAUUUUCAUAGCUAACCAGACGGCGGAGAAUCAUGCAGACGUGAUCACAUGGAGCGGCGGAAACGGAGUUCCCAUAUACAGAGAUUAUGGGGUAAUGAUGCCAAGCCAGGGAAGUAACAAAAAACAAAACCUCUACAUACAACUGCAUCCUAACCCGGAUUAUGAAACCGUUUACAAUGAUGCAAUCCUCAACGGAAUCGAGCUAUUCAAACUCAGCAAUCCUGAAAAAAGCCUCGCCGGGCCCAAUCCAGACCCAUCGGAGGCUCCUGCCCCACCACCACCUGUACAGUCUACCUCGCCCAAGAGUAACAAAACAAAGCUUAUCGCAAUUGCCGGUAGCGUGGUCGCAGGCCUAAUCGCGCUCUCUGUUAUAGCUCUCUUUAUUGUCUGGCGAGGAAGGAGAGUGAGAGAUUCAGAACCCAGCGAUGGAGGAUCAUGGUGGGGCCAAUUUUCUUAUACCUCGGUGAAGUCCACGAAGACCAGCCGCUCAUCUCUGCCCUCCGAUCUGUGCCGUCUCUUCACUCUGCAAGAAAUCAAGGUGGCCACUAACAACUUCGACAACGUCUUCAUCAUCGGCGUCGGAGGCUUUGGGAACGUGUACAAAGGG